GAUGAAGAACGUAGCGAAAUGCGAUAAGUAGUGUGAAUUGCAGAAUUCAGUGAAUCAUCGAAUCUUUGAACGCACAUUGCGCCCCUUGGUAUUCCAUGGGGCAUGCCUGUUCGAGCGUCAUCUACAACCCUCAAGCCCUGCUUGGUGUUGGGCGUCUGUCCCGCCCCCGCGCGCGGACUCGCCCCAAAUCCAUUGGCGGCGGCCCUUGCCUCCCUCUCGCGCAGCACAUUGCGCUUCUCGAGGCGUCGCGGGCCGCGCUCCACGAAGCACGCAAACCAGUCUUUGACCUCGGAUCAGGUAGGGAUACCCGCUGAACUUAAGCAUUUCAAUAAGCGGAGGA
rnacentral:misc_RNA from 1 species